CAUUAUUGAAAUAAACCUGAUGGGUUGUUGCUGGUUCUCUAGGGAGCAUGUGCACGCCUUGUCAUCUUUAUAUCUCCACCUGUGCACCUUUUGUAGAUCUUACAGGUCUAUGUUGCCCUUUCAUUUACACCAAUGUAUGUUAAUAGAAUGUUGUGACUAUAAAUAUAUAC
rnacentral:rRNA from 1 species